UUCCUUUUGAUCCUCCAAUUUUUAUCAGAUCAUCAACAACUUGACGUACAUUACAGCGAGCAGAGAAAUUGACAACAACCCAUCGUUGAAUUUUGGUGGGCUCAACAAAUUCCUGUACAACAAAGGGAAUCAGACUCUCUGAACAGGUAAAAUACAAAGAAAGGCAGAGAGAAACAGCACCUUGUUGUUGAAGUUCCAGCGACCAUUUCUGGGAAAGGUUUCAGAUCCACAUCCCAUUUUCAGCUGUCAGUCAAAGAAAACAAGAGAAUAUUACAUGUAUGCAAAAGCUAAAAACAAUUCAUCAUGUCAAAAAGUAAGCGAUCGCACCAUACCUUGGGAGCUGGUAGAACACGACCCUCCACCUGAGUAAAGUUGGAGCUGAUCGAAAUGCCACAGGAUCGCAGGAGUGGUUCCGCAUCAUAGU
rnacentral:sRNA from 1 species